AUACAGACAUUAUGUUGAGUUCCUGUAGCUAAAGACGAGAAUAUUAACGUUUGUUGUUCACUCUGCGAGCAAAGUUUAAUAUUGUGUCGAGCCUUCUUAAUGUUUUAAAAAUAGCCAUUUUCAUGCUAGCGUCAGAGUUAGCUUAGCGCCUGCUAAUGUAUUGCCUAGGGCACUGAUUAAACAACACACUGUAAGGACGGUAUGUCCACCUGCCUCAGUUAUCAGGUACCUGCCUGCAGGCUGUAAUUACAGGUGUUACAGCUGAAAUCAUGGAUACAUGAUAGUGAAAGUGAAAAAAGUGUAGUGUGUAGUGAAAAAAAAAAAAUUUAGUUUUUGUUGAUAAAAGUCUUGACAUAAUACAAUAUUGUUUAAGAAAAUGUGGUGACAUUUAUAUGUACAACAACAGUGAUGCUUUGGGUAGCUAUUAAAAAACACAGCUGAGGCCACAAGCCUGCACAUACCACCUGUGUGGAGACCGCGGGGUGUGUCACCCUAAGCCGACUAACAGACACAAUGUGACGGCGGCCGUGGUGCGUUCCCUCUCCCAGCGAGCUGGGUGGUUCACCUGUGUGGUGACCGCGGGGUGUGUCACCCUAAGCCGACUAACAGACACAAUGUGACGGCGGCCGUGGUGCGUUCCCCCUCCCAGCGAGCUGGGUGGUUCACACACUGUGAUCGACAAGCGCCCAAUGUGGAAUCAACUGCGGUAAGCUAAAGGUUCUACGGGACUAUUUAAAGGCCUCCACCGUCGUAGUCGUUGCAUUCAUGGUACCGACUUCAUUUUUUUUCUCUUUUUUUGCCAAAGACUGUGCCUGACACACAGCCACAACAGAUCCUCGCUCACCACUCGGGUUUCCCUUUUCAAAUCGCUGUACUUUGCUCAUUAUUGGCCUCCAUGUCGCUGUGAUGAGCAUCCGGGGCGGGGCUACACGAGCGGAACUUGGAACCUGAUUGGACACCUCAGGUGCCCCAGUUGAUUGACAGGUCACUGCACGUCUCGUUGAAAGCACCGCAUUACGGAAAGGCAAAGGCGGGAGGCAGAAGGCUUUAAAAACACGCAUGGGUCGAGUGGACCGACUUUGAAUACGUCAUCUUGAAUUUCAUCAGUUGCUGAGAGUGACACACAUACGUCUGCCUCUGGAGAGGAAGGCAGUGAGCCAGAGCUGCUAGGAGGAGAUGCCACCGAAGCCCCCACAUCCACAUCAAGCACCACUUACUGUGCAGCUGAAGGACGGAGCGGCGAUAAACACUGCGGUGUGCUGCGAGUGACAAACGGAAAGAUGAGCGAGCGAUGCAGGGAGAGAAGACAGAGAGACGACUGGGCUGGAGACAGACACAUCGCACUGAUCCAAAUGUGGAGACUGUGCAAUAGUCUAAUUGACGUGUUAAGUUGACUGUGUUAACGGUGUAAUAAGUUUCAUUGUUUAAUUGGUCAAAUUUCAUUAAUAUUGUGUCAAGUUUCAUUUUGUCCCAUGUGAAGACAGUGCCAAUGUGGAGGCUUUUUGUUGACACAGGACAUGACGAUUAUUGAUAUUUAUUCUUAGAUAAUGUAUCAUCAUUUGUUGUGACAGAGAAGAAAAUAAAGCCUGUCUUCCAAUUCAG